CUGGUUUUCUGCGAAAUCUGUUUUAGCAGACUGUUUAAAAUUGAAUUAUUAAUAGGUAUAGCACUGGAUGUCUCAUUUAAAGUUUGUAGGGAAUACGGAAGUAUUUUCCUUAGAUAUUUAAUCUCAGAAUGAUUAAUAAGGAUGUUAAAUAGUCGGACUUCUUGCGAUAAGGUGGGAGGUCGAGAGGGAAACAGCCCAGAAUAGUGAUUAAAGCUCCCCAAUUAAUAUUAAGUGAGAAUUCCCA
rnacentral:rRNA from 1 species